CCUAGGGGGGCUGCAGUGGGGAAUAUUGGACAAUGGGCGAAAGCCUGAUCCAGCCAUGCCGCGUGUGUGAAGAAGGCCUUCGGGUUGGAAAGCACUUUCAGUGGGGAAGAAAGCCUUGGGGCUAAUACCCUCGAGGAAGGACAUCACCCACAGAAGAAGCACCGGCUAACUCCGUGCCAGCAGCCGCGGUAAUACGGAGGGUGCGAGCGUUAAUCGGAAUUACUGGGCGUAAAGCGCGCGUAGGCGGUCUGAUAAGCCGGUUGUGAAAGCCCCGGGCUCAACCUGGGAACGGCAUCCGGAACUGUCAGGCUAGAGUGCAGGAGAGGAAGGUAGAAUUCCCGGUGUAGCGGUGAAAUGCGUAGAGAUCGGGAGGAAUACCAGUGGCGAAGGCGGCCUUCUGGACUGACACUGACGCUGAGGUGCGAAAGCGUGGGUAGCAAACAGGAUUAGAUACCUGGUAGUC
rnacentral:rRNA from 1 species